GACGUAGGGCGCGAGCGUUGUCCGGAUUUAUUGGGCGUAAAGAGCUCGUAGGCGGCUUGUCGCGUCGACUGUGAAAUCCCGCGGCUCAACUGCGGGUCUGCAGUCGAUACGGGCAGGCUAGAGUUCGGUAGGGGAGACUGGAAUUCCUGGUGUAGCGGUGAAAUGCGCAGAUAUCAGGAGGAACACCGGUGGCGAAGGCGGGUCUCUGGGCAAUAACUGACGCUGAGGAGCGAAAGCGUGGGGAGCGAACAGG
rnacentral:rRNA from 1 species